rnacentral:rRNA from 1 species
GACGAACGCUGGCGGCGUGCUUAACACAUGCAAGUCGAACGGAAAGGCCCUUCGGGGUACUCGAGUGGCGAACGGGUGAGUAACACGUGGGUGAUCUGCCCUGCACUUUGUGAUAAGCCUGGGAAACUGGGUCUAAUACCGAAUAGGACCGCGCGCUUCAUGGUGUGUGGUGGAAAGCUUUUGCGGUGUGUGAUGGGCCCGCUGCCUAUCAGCUUGUUGGUGGGGUAAUGGCCUACCAAGGCGACGACGGGUAGCCGGCCUGUGAGGGUGACCGGCCACACUGGGACUGAGAUACGGACCAGACUCGUACGGGAGGCAGCAGGGGGAAAUAUUGCACAAUGGGCGCAAGCGUGAUGCAGCGACGCCGCGUGAGGGAUGACGGCCUUCGGGUUGUAAACCACUUUCACCAGGGACGAAGCGGAAGUGACGGUACCUGGAGAAGAAGCACCGGCCAACUACGUG